CCAAUAGCGUAUAUUUAAGUUGUUGCAGUUAAAAAGCUCGUAGUUGGAUUUCGGGACGGAGACGUCGGUCUUCCCUUGUGGUCGAUACUGACUCUCUUCCUUAUCUGCCUUGGGCGUCGCCUAGUCUUAGUUGCCUGGGCGCGCUACACGGCGCCGUUACCUUGAAUAAAUUAUGGUGUUCAAAGCAAGCCUAAGCUCUGAGUACAUUAGCAUGGAAUAACAGCAUAGGACUCCGGUCUUAUUGCGUUGGUCUUCUGAUCGGAGUAAUGAUUAAUAGGGACAGUCGGGGGCAUUCGUACUUCAUUGUUAGAGGUGAAAUUCUUGGAUCAAUGAAAGACGAACUUCUGCGAAAGCAUUUGCCAAGGAUGUUUUCAUUAAUCAAGAACGAAAGUUGGGGGCGCGAAGACGAUUAGAUACCGUCCUAGUCCCAACCGUAAACGAUGCCAACCCCGAAUUGGCGCACGUACGACUUGACGUCGCCAGCGCCCGAGGAGAAAUCAGAGUCUUUGGGUUCCGGGGGGAGUAUGGUCGCAAGUCUGAAACUUAAAGGAAUUGACGGAAGGGCACCACCAGGUGUGGAGCGUGCGGCUUAAUUUGACUCAACGCGGGGAAUCUUACCAGGUCCGGACAUAGCGACGAUUGACAGACUGAUAGCUCUUUCUUGAUCAUAUGGGUAGUG
rnacentral:rRNA from 1 species